AAGCUCUUCCUCAAAAUUU
rnacentral:miRNA from 1 species